rnacentral:rRNA from 1 species
UACAGAGGUCCCGAGCGUUGUUCGGAUUCACUGGGCGUAAAGGGUGCGCAGGUGGGUUGGCAAGUUUGAUGUGAAAGCCCCGGGCUUAACCCGGGAAUGGCAUUGAAUACUGCUGAUCUGGAGGAUCGGAGGGGGGACUGGAAUUCCUGGUGUAGCGGUGAAAUGCGCAGAUAUCAGGAGGAACACCAAUGGCGAAGGCAGCACUCUGGGACGUGACUGACGCUGAGACGCGAAAGCGUGGGGAGCAAACAGG